GAGAAGGUGAGUCUCAGAGCAAGAUUUUAUAGCUUUUUUGUUAUCUUCGAUGUUGAAGAAAAGGCUGUAAAUUCUUGACAUGAGAACGCCAUUACUACAUUGACUGAAUACUGCAAGUGACUGUGCACAGAUGUUUGCUGUUCCGUCACCAAAAGUGAUUUGCCUGUGCAAGAAAUGGAAGGGUGAGACCUUCGUUCUUGCCAGGCCCCUUUGCAAGGCUGGCUGUGCUGUUCACAGCCCCUCUCUAGGAGGAAGGACGCUGAGUGGGAAGCAUUCGUGUCUGCACUGCUGUCCGAAGGCCCCUGUCGCUCUAAUCCGAGAACUUUUGAACUGAGGAGGAGAAAUUCAAGCUUUGCAGAGGAGGCUCUGUGGCUCCUGUCUUCCACUCCUGUUUGAGUAAACCUCACCUUGUGAGAUGCUGGCCUCAGACACAAAGUCAGGAAAGCAGAAAGACAGAGUUGCU